rnacentral:misc_RNA from 1 species
GAUGAAGAACGUAGCGAAAUGCGAUACGUAGUGUGAAUUGCAGAAUUCAGUGAAUCAUCGAAUCUUUGAACGCACAUUGCGCCCUUUGGUAUUCCAAAGGGCAUGCCUGUUCGAGCGUCAUUUGUACCCUCAAGCUUUGCUUGGUGUUGGCGUCUUGUCUCCAGUCCGCUGGAGACUCGCCUUAAAGUCAUUGGCAGCCGGCCUACUGGUUUCGGAGCGCAGCACAAGUCGCACUCUUUUCCAGCCAAGGUCAGUGUCCAACAAGCCUUUUUUCAACUUUUGACCUCGGAUCAGGUAGGGAUACCCGCUGAACUUAAGCAUAUCAAUAAGCGGAGGA